rnacentral:snRNA from 1 species
GUGCUCACUUCGGCAGCACUUAUACGAAAAUUAGAACAAUACAGAGAAGAUGGGCUGGCCCCUGCACACGGAUGACACGCAAAUUGGUGAAGCGUUCCAUAUUUUU